GCGCACGAUUUUAGUUAAAAAGUUUUAGAAAAAUCUUGCAUUCAUUCCUAGGGUCCAAUGAAAAACAAUGAGACAGGUGAGUACGAUCAGCCAACCUACUUGUUUCGGGAAAAACAUGGGAAAUGUGGUCCCAUAAGCUUCUGUACUGGUUAGUGGAGCAAAAUGGACACAGCUUUGCUAGAUUCUUUGUGAGAUGAUAGUUUACGACAAUAAAUAUUCAAAAUUUUGAGUUGUGUCGUUAUCCGACGAUACAAUGGUCACUUCUUCACAAUGCACUUCGUUUGGAGAUAAACACUUUGGCGAUACGCUGCAGUUUCCAAGGAAUCACACGGAUUCUUGCAAAGCUGUGAAUUGACUUUCACUGUCUUCCAGCAGACUAUUUUACUACCGGAGACACCCGACUUUGCAAUCUUCAUGUUAAUUACGAGCGGAAUCUGUACGCGGCCGUAGUCACAGGAAGCUGAGGUCUAUACCGGGUGCGCUUGAAGCUUCCAAUGCCGAACUUGAGUGAAACAUACCAGCACGAGAACAUGAAGAAGAAACUGCUGUUGCUGGACUACUGCUGCUGUUGGGACCACUGUUGCUGCUGGGACUAUUACUACUGCUGCUGGGACUGCUGCCGAACUGUUGCCUCCAAGCAGUUUCGUGGAAACUCUAGGAACAACUAUUACAACAUGAUCCAAUGAUCAACUGGAAGGCUCAGAAAUAUUGAAACGGAUAGGUAAAAUUGCUCCAGCGGGAGA